AAUCCAUGGUGUGGGCAUUGUAAUAAAAGUGAUUUGAAGCGAUCCCAUGCUUCAUGAAAAGAUUCAACAUUCUCUUGAUAAAAAUUAGAAAUCUCACCUCUUAAUUCU
rfam:Ricinus communis cultivar Hale ctg_1100012332293, whole genome shotgun sequence.